rnacentral:rRNA from 1 species
UACGUAGGGGGCAAGCGUUGUCCGGAUUUAUUGGGCGUAAAGAGCGUGUAGGCGGUUCGGUAGGUCCGUUGUGAAAACUCGAGGCUCAACCUCGAGACGCCGAUGGAAACCCUCGAACUAGAGUCCGGAAGAGGAGAAUGGAAUUCCUGGUGUAGCGGUGAAAUGCGCAGAUAUCAGGAAGAACACCCGUGGCUAAGGCGGUUCUCUAGUACGGUACUGACGCUGGAGACGCGAAAGCGUGGGGAGCGAACAGG